ensembl:lncRNA
CAAAAAACUCCCAAUGAGGGAUCCGAUUGUUGGGGUAAGUGCUGUGUGCCUUUCUGUCACUGCGAUGGAGAGGACAGCCGUCUGAAUAGUACCGCAGGCAUUUAAGGCUAUGAAAUUCAUAUUGCACUCUGGAUCUGUCUGACACUUAAUCAACAGCACAAUACAAGUAGAGGGAGAAGAGCUACAUUUUAAAAACAAAGAGAUUUGAUAGUCAGAAGCUGCCUCUUCAUUUCCUGGUUUGGAGACUGACUCAGAAUUGAAGACAUUAAGCAUUAAAAUUAGCUGAAAAAUAAAGGGUGGAGAUGCGAAUAAUGUCAGGGACUUUGCAUUCUAUUUCUCACGAGCUUUCAAACUUGUUCAACUUUUAAGAAAAGUCUUGUUUAAUACUUGUUGUUCCAGCUACUUUUAGAAGACAUUUUGGAAGACAGGAAGGCCAGAUACUUCAGGCAAGAGGCAUAAUGACUUGGGGCACAGACCACUAAAAAAAAAAAUCAAUCCUGAAUCCCUGAGGCUUCCGUACUCUUGUUGAGAAGGCAGAACCUAGUGUUUCAUCAAAUUUUUUGUGAUAACCAUUGAUGACGUUGCAGAAACCAUGAUAAUGUAAAAUAAUGGAUUAAAUUUGUAUGAGCAUAACUGUAGUGAUGAAACAAUUUAAACUCAUUUCUGAAGGCAUUCAUGCACUGGUGCUUGCUCAGGGUGUGAGCUAGAAGGCCACUAUCCCUUCAAAAUUAGACAGAGAUGUUGAUGACCAUUCUCAGUUAUUAUACUUCUAAAUUACAGCCUGUCCUCAUCCUUGAAGAUCAAAAAGGGAGUAAUUUCUGUUUUACAGGAGAUUACUUGCACUACAAGUCUAACUCUUGUUCACUUUGAGGUACUUAAAUAAAUCUGGAGCCCUGGCUGUAGGACAGACAGACAGUUCCAGUGGGAAAAUCAGCUCUGAAUUUCAUAAUGGGAAUUUCAUUCAUUUUCUGAAUGUGUUCAUCCUUAUCCAUUAGCCCAGAGGACCCAGGACUAGCAGACGCCUUUGAAAUUCAGCCCACUGCCUCAGGUUAGAUUAAAUGAAUCCAUACUUCUGAUCAGCAGAGUUAAAAAAAAAUACAAAACCCAAACCAACCAAAAAGCAUCAACAACCACAUAACCAUAUAAUAAUAUGGAAGGAAAUAAAGGACAAGGGAUAUUUUUAUUUGUGCAGCUGACCAGAUAUUUCCAUCUUUGGAUUGCUCCCUCUGCUGCCUGCAAGGUAGCUGGAGGGGAGCUAGCAAAGCUACCCAGGUGGACUCUGCAUCCCUCUUCCUCGCCCAACUCCCAGCAUUAGAGAUGCCGACAGUUACUAGAUAAAGUUAAAGACUCAUGUAGUGAUCUUCACACUAAUUGGACUGUAAUGUAUAGCCUCGGUCAAGCAAAUCUCUCCCAGCACUCCUCUCCACAGACGACAAUCAAGCCAUUUACAGAAGAUGCAUCGGCUGCUGGGACCCUGGAGUAACCUUAAACUACGCUGGCCUUUUAGCAGAAAACACAAUUAAUUUUGAUACUGAAGGGCAAUUAGGACUGGGGUUAAAAUAAAAAAUCUUCUGAACAGAGAAUGUCAAAGACUGGUAAGGAAACUAUUUCCCUUGUACACAGCUUGUUGAAGGUCUGUAAGCACGGCGACUGUCAGCUCACGUUAAUUCAUAUCACUUUGAAAACCUCUCAUUUCAAUGUAGGAAAUAUAAAUUCAGAUUAAUAAGCACUGUGCUCAAACCUCACUAAGACUGAUGGCUGUUUUCUUUAAGUCUUUUGCUGCUGAAAUGAGCACAGCUUCUCCCUCUUGCUGGGGAAACCUGUUUUACAUCCCAGAAUGUAGUGAAAUGACCAAAUGCAUUUAUUUUGUUCUGUUUCAUUUCUAAAAGAAGAUAGUCUCCCAGAUGACACUCUGCAGAUCACGGCUGAGAGCAAAUCUUGUCAGCAACUCUGUAAACUACUCUUUAGAAAUACAGAAGAUGUUCACAGUAAUACAUAUCUACAAUGCACCCACAUGCCCUGAUGCAUGUGCAAGGCAGCCAAAAUUUUGACCUCGCCUGCACAAACCGCAUAGGUCGAUGCCACUCUCAAUAAGUCAAGCAAAUGCACCAG